GACGAACGCUGGCGGCGUGCUUAACACAUGCAAGUCGAACGGAAAGGCCCUGCUUUUGUGGGGUGCUCGAGUGGCGAACGGGUGAGUAACACGUGAGUAACCUGCCCUUGACUUUGGGAUAACUUCAGGAAACUGGGGCUAAUACCGGAUAGGAGCUCCUGCUCCAUGGUGGGGGUUGGAAAGUUUCGGCGGUUGGGGAUGGACUCGCGGCUUAUCAGCUUGUUUGUGGGGUAGUGGCUUACCAAGGCUUUGACGGGUAGCCGGCAUGAGAGGGUGACCGGCCACAUUGGGACUGAGAUAGGGACCAGACUCCUACGGGAGGCAGCAGUGGGGAAUAUUGCACAAUGGGCGGAAGCCUGAUGCAGCAACGCCGCGUGCGGGAUGACGGCCUUCGGGUUGUAAACCGCUUUCGCCUGUGACGAAGCGUGAGUGACGGUAAUGGGUAAAGAAGCACCGGCUAACUACGUG
rnacentral:rRNA from 1 species